rnacentral:rRNA from 1 species
AAAUUUGACGGUACCUGAAGAAAAAGCAUCGGCUAACUCCGUGCCAGCAGCCGCGGUAAUACGGAGGAUGCAAGCGUUAUCCGGAAUCAUUGGGCGUAAAGGGUCCGCAGGUGGCUAUUCAAGUCUGCUGUCAAANNCCGGGGCUCAACUCCGNNAAGGCAGUGGAAACUGGGUGGCUAGAGUACGGUAGGGGUAGAGGGAAUUCCCAGUGUAGCGGUGAAAUGCGUAGAGAUUGGGAAGAACCACCCGGUGGCGAAAGCGCU